rnacentral:rRNA from 1 species
UACGGAGGGCGCAAGCGUUGUUCGGAAUUACUGGGCGUAAAGCGCGUGUAGGCGUCCAGGUAAGUCGGAUGUGAAAGCCCGGGGCCCAACCCCGGAACUGCACCCGAGACUGACUGGCUGGAGUCCCGGAGAGGAGGGCGGAAAUUCCGGUGUAGAGGUGAAAUUCGUAGAUAUCGGAAGGAACACCAGUGGCGAAGGCGGCCAUCUGGACGGUGACUGACGCUGAGACGCGAAAGCGUGGGGAGCAAACAGG